rnacentral:rRNA from 1 species
CCUACGGGUGGCUGCAGUGGGGAAUAUUGCACAAUGGGGGAAACCCUGAUGCAGCGACGCCGCGUGAGUGAAGAAGUAUUUCGGUAUGUAAAGCUCUAUCAGCAGGGAAGAAAAUGACGGUACCUGACUAAGAAGCCCCGGCUAACUACGUGCCAGCAGCCGCGGUAAUACGUAGGGGGAAAGUGUGAUCCGGAUUUACUGGGUGUAAAGGGAGCGUAGGUGGGAUGGUAAGCCAGAAGUGAAAACCCAGGGCUCAACUCUGUGGAUUGCUGUUGGAACUAGCAAGCUAGAGUGGUGGAGGAGUAAGCGGAAUGCGUGGUGUAGCGGUGAAAUGCAUAGAUAUUGGGAAGAACUCCGGUGGCGAAGGCAGCAUGCUGGACAGAAACUGACGCUGAGGCACGAAAGCGUGGGUAGCGAACAGGAUUAGAUACCCUAGUAGUC